UGGGAAAUAUUGCACAAUGGAGGGAACUCUGAUGCAGCGACGCCGCGUGAACGAAGAAGGCUUUCGAGUCGUAAAGUUCUUUUAUAUGGGAAGAUAAUGACGGUACCAUAAGAAAAAGCCCCGGCUAACUACGUGCCAGCAGCCGCGGUAAUACGUAGGGGGCUAGCGUUGUCCGGAAUCACUGGGCGUAAAGGGUUCGCAGGCGGAAAUGCAAGUCAGGUGUAAAAGGCAGUAGCUUAACUACUGUAAGCAUUUGAAACUGCAUAUCUUGAGAAGAGUAGAGGUAAGUGGAAUUUUUAGUGUAGCGGUGAAAUGCGUAGAUAUUAAAAAGAAUACCGGUGGCGAAGGCGACUUACUGGGCUCAUUCUGACGCUGAGGAACGAAAGCGUGGGUAGCAAACAGG
rnacentral:rRNA from 1 species